UGGCGAACGGGUGAGUAACGCGUGGAUAACCUACCUGUCCGACCGGGAUAACACCUGGAAACGGGUGCUAAUACCGGAUACGCUCACGGGUUCACAAGAGCUUGUGAGGAAAGGGGAGACCCGCAGACAGAUGGGUCCGCGUCCCAUUAGCUAGUUGGGGGUGUAAUGGACUCCCAAGGCGACGAUGGGUAGCCGGCCUGAGAGGGUGACCGGCCACACUGGAACUGAGACACGGUCCAGACUCCUACGGGAGGCAGCAGUGGGGAAUCUUCCGCAAUGGGCGAAAGCCUGACGGAGCAACGCCGCGUGAGUGAAGAAGGCCUUCGGGUUGUAAGACUCUGUCAUCAGGGAAGAAGAAAGUGACGGUACCUGAGGAGGAAGCCCCGGCUAACUACGUGCCAGCAGCCGCGGUAAAACGUAGGGGGCGAGCGUUGUCCGGAAUUACUGGGCGUA
rnacentral:rRNA from 1 species